GCAGCAGAGCGACAAAUGGCUGCGCGCGGCGCGAGUACGUGUUUAAUCGCUUUACAUCCAAUUAAACUUCAAGUUCAUAGUCGUCGCUCACAUCCCCCCAACCCUAUCGAGAGAGUUGUUGACAUACAAAAUUAUUAAAGGGGCUCAGCAUGAGGUUAACAAGAAUCAUAAGAAUAUAUUCUUUAGGAGAUACGCACGUGCCGACUGGUUUUAUUUCAUUUUAUUUCAUUAUUUUCGUUUUCAUUACGCUGCAUUGCGUUGUUUUAUUAAUUCGACACACGAGUGUAAUAGAAGUAAUGGCAGAACAAUGCGAUGCGAUUGUGUUUGUGAUAGGGGUAGUUUUCGGACACACCUACAACGUAUGUAUAAAUAUAUUGCCGUAAUAAUAUCAGACAACAAAUCAACAAAACCCAGAGGAUGAGGAAAUAGCAGGCGAAAGGAAGGACAACGGCACGCGCCUAAUAUGUAUUUAAUAGACUUGUUUGAGGGUUGUUCUAAAUAAGGGUUGAUGUAAAAAUAUUUCAUGUUAUUAUUAUUUUUCGGAUGUUUUCCCCGGUGGAUUAUUAAUUAUUAAACAAAUGUAAUUUUUUGCGCAACAGGGUGUUAAUUAAGUUUUUGUCUUUAGUCACGAAUUAAUAAAAUGUGUCAAUCACUUUAAAA